UAUUCUUAGAUAUUAUAAUCCCAAACAACACUAGAUAAGUCAUUUAGUGGUUCAACGCAAUGUUUCCGAGUUCUUAGCCCAUUUGGGACCCAAUUUCAACAAGUCUUUCUCCAUUCUUCUAAACACUCUUCAUGCAUCUCCAGCACUUGUAAUCAAUCAAAUUCAUUGUAUUCUAAUAUAUAAUAACCCCAAACAACACUAGAUAAGUCAUUUAGUGGUUCAACGCAAUGUUUCCGAGUUCUUAGCCCAUUUGGCACCCAAUUUCAACAAGUCUUUCUACACACUUCUAAACACUCUUCAUGCAUCUCUAGGUCUUGUAAUCGAUCAAAUUAAAUGUAUUUUAACAUAUACUAACCCCAAAAUACAGUAGAUAAGUCAUUUAGUUGUUCAACGCAAUGUUUCCGAGUUCUUAGCCCAUUUGGGACCCAAUUUCAACAAGUCUUUUUACACACUUCUAAACACUCUUCAUGCUUCUCUAGCACUUGUAAUCAAUCAAAUUCAUUGUAUUCUAACAUAUUCUGACACCAAACAACACUAGAUAAGUUUUUUAGUGGUUCAAACGCAAUGUUUCUGAGUUCUUAGCCCAUAUGGGACCCAAUUUCAACAAGUCUUUCUACACACUUCUAAACACUCUUCAUGAAUCUCUAGCACUUGUAAUCAAUCAAAUUCAUUGUAUUCUAACAUACUCUAACCUUAAACAACACUAGAUUAGUCAUUUAGUCGUUCAACACAAUGUUUCCGAGUUCUUAGCCCAUUUGGAACCCAAAUUCAACAAGUUUUUCUACACACUUUUAAACACUCUUCAUGCAUCUCUAGCACUUGUAAUCAAUCAAAGUUAUAGUAUUCUAACAUAUUCUCACCCGAAACAACACUAGAUAAGUCAUUUAGUGGUUCAACGCAAUGUUUCUGAGUUCUUAGCCCAUUUGGG
rnacentral:lncRNA from 1 species